rnacentral:rRNA from 1 species
AAGUUGGUGGUGAAAUCCCAGAGCUUAACUCUGGAACUGCCAUCAAAACUUUUCAGCUAGAGUUUGAUAGAGGAAAGCAGAAUUUCUAGUGUAGAGGUGAAAUUCGUAGAUAUUAGAAAGAAUACCCAAUUGCGAAGGCAGCUUUCUGGAUCAUUACUGACACUGAGGAACGAAAGCAUGGGUAGCGAAGAGGAUUAGAUACCCUCGUAGUCCAUGCCGUAAACGAUGUGUGUUAGACGUUGGAAAUUUAUUUUCAGUGUCGCAGCGAAAGCGAUAAACACACCGCCUGGGGAGUACGACCGCAAGGUUAAAACUCAAAUGAAUUGACGGGGACCCGCACAAGUAGUGGAGCAUGUGGUUUAAUUCGAAGAUACGCGCAGAACCUUACCAACACUUGACAUGUUCGUCGCGACUUUAAGAGAUUAAAGUUUUCGGUUCGGCCGGACGAAACACAGGUGCUGCAUGGCUGUCGUCAGCUCGUGUCGUGAGAUGUUGGGUUAAGUCCCGCAACGAGCGCAACCCUCACUUUUAGUUGCCAUCAUUAAGUUGGGCACUCUGAAAGAACUGCCAGUGAUAAGCUGGAGGAAGGUGGGGAUGACGUCAAGUCCUCAUGGCCCUUACGUGUUGGGCUACACACGUGCUACAAUGGUAUCUACAACAGGAAGCAAAACGGCGACGUUAAGCAAAUCCUCAAAAGAUACCUCAGUUCGGAUUGCACUCUGCAACUCGAGUGCAUGAAGCUGGAAUUACUAGUAAUCGUGGAUCAGCGUGCCACGGUGAAUGCGUUCCCGGGUCUUGUACACACCGCCCGUCACACCAUGGGAGUUGGUUCUACCUUAAGGCAAGGUUUCAAACCCUUGACCACGGUAUAGUCAGCGACUGGGGUGAAGUCGUAACAAGGUAGCCGUA